rnacentral:lncRNA from 1 species
UAAUUCUGUGCUCUAUUGUAGUGUUCUUUAGUGUAUGCAGGAUAAAAUUUUUGGUACUAGGAGCACAAGACCAUCAGGAGGCAGAUAAGGAAGGAGAAUUGGUUGACCAACACCCUGAGGUGAAAAGUGACAAACCCUAACCUGACACAUCAAUGAUAUAUAAAAUUAGGUUAUGGGUUGUCAAGACUAUUACAACAAGGAGAGCUCUUGAGAUUGAGGAUCCUUAGAGUUGGUGACAAGAAGAUUGUUGGUGUCAUGAAGGAAGGAAGAACGCCAACGUUAAAAAUCAACACCUACUGAUGGGUGUUUGGGCUUUACCGAGUCAAGCUAAUGAGGUUAAAAGAGCGCUUGUUGGGAGGCAACCUAGUUUUUGAUUUUUUUUUUUUAUUUUCAAUUGCAUUUUGAUUUUAUUUUAUUUUACUUUUAUUUUUUUAUAUUCUUUUAUUUGAAUUUUUUUUUUAUUUUAUUUUAUUUCUUUUAUUUAUUUUGGGUUAUGCGUUGCUUCUGAUGGCAAUGAUGAUAACAUCUACUGAUGGAUGCUCCUGCAAAAUCUACUGAUGGAUGUUAGAUGAUAUGGCAUUUACUGAUGGAUGCCAAUGAAGAUUAGAAAGAUUAGCAUUUACUGAUGAAUGUUACCGGGAUAACAUCUACUGGGGGAUGUUAGAAAAUAUAGGUAUCCACUAAAGGAUAUCCGGAAGGUACACCUACUGAUGGGUGGUGGAAGGUAGUGCACUUACUGACAAGUGCCAACCAGGUUUGGGUCAGGCUCGUGAUGUUAAACAACCUAGAUUUCUUCUUACACUUUUGCAUUUUAAAUUCCUAGAAUAGGUUGAAUUUUAACUUUGGUGUGUAUUCUUGGCUUUAUUACUUGUUCUGAAAAUGUUUGACUAACUAAUUUGCGUGAUGGAUCUAUUUGAUGAUUAUUUGAUGUGGAUGAGAAUUGAGUUGUAAUGCAUGAUGAUAUCCAGGAAAUAGAUGGGUGAUGAAUUUAUGAUUGUGGUCAUGAUGCUAUGCAUGGUGUAUGAAUGAAUUUUUUUGUGAGGAAGCAUGUGUGUGAGAUUUUGAGCUCCAGAGUUUUUAUUGUUGUAUGCAUUGUUCACAGGAAAACAUGGAUGAUAUUGCCUUAAUCUUGANAAUCGAUUGAAUUGCAUGUGAAUGUCAUAUGAUCAAGGCCAUUUUUUAAAACCCUUCUCUAGCCAAAUUUUCACCCAAAGUGCUUGAAAAUAUUUUACCCUUUUUGAACCUUAGCCUUAAAUAGUAUGUGAACCCUUG